GACAGAGGAGCCAAGCGUUGUCCGGAUUUAUUGGGCGUAAAGGGCGCGCAGGCGGCUACGCACGUCCGUUGUGAAAUCGCUCGGCUCAACUGGGCGGGGUCAGCGGAUACGGCGUAGCUGGAGCAAGCUAGGGGGCAAUGGAAUUCCCGGUGUAGUGGUGGAAUGCGUAGAUAUCGGGAGGAACACCAGUGGCGAAGGCGGUUGCCCGGAGCUUUGCUGACGCUGAGGCGCGAAAGCGUGGGGAGCGAUCCGG
rnacentral:rRNA from 1 species